AGCGAACGCUGGCGGCAGGCUUAACACAUGCAAGUCGAACGCCCCGCAAGGGGAGUGGCAGACGGGUGAGUAACACGUGGGAACGUACCCUUUGGUUCGGAAUAACUUGGGGAAACUCAAGCUAAUACCGGAUAAGCCCUUAUGGGGAAAGGUUUACUGCCGAAGGAUCGGCCCGCGUCUGAUUAGCUAGUUGGCGAGGUAAUGGCUCACCAAGGCGACGAUCAGUAGCUGGUCUGAGAGGAUGAUCAGCCACACUGGGACUGAGACACGGCCCAGACUCCAACGGGAGGCAGCAGUGGGGAAUAUUGGACAAUGGGGGCAACCCUGAUCCAGCCAUGCCGCGUGAGUGAUGAAGGCCUUAGGGUUGUAAAGCUCUUUUACCCGGGACGAUAAUGACUGUACCGGGAGAAUAAGCCCCGGCUAACUUCGUGCCAGCCGCCGCGGUAA
rnacentral:rRNA from 1 species